AGAGAACGAGGAAGCAGGUGUCUUUGGAUAAGGGUCAUGAUUAAUAACCAAACUCACCUGUGAUAAAAAGGGGCGGACACUAAAAAAGCGGUGGCAGUCUCUCUGGAUGCUCCCGACUCUAUCUCUGCAUCUUUCUUUUUCUUCGUCCUCACUCCCCCAUUCAGGUGCUGUUCGACAAGUGACGGCUGGCUCCGUCAUGGGUGGCGCCCGAACAGGGACCUGAAUACGGGGGACCAUAGUGAAGGACACCGCGGAUCGUGAGCUUGGAUAAGUAAAUUAAGGGCGGUGAAUGCACUCGGGAGUAACAAGGCAUUAAACAGUGAGAGUGCAUGGCCUCUCCCAACACUGAGUGAUGGGCAAGUGAAGAAGCUUCUAGAGUCAAGAUGAAUUAAAUAACAUACAGGUUCUGGAGGGACUGUUGAGGAAGACCUGGUCUUGCUUUGUAAUCCAGGCUGGCUUUGAACUUGGAACUCAAAGUGAACCUCCUGCCUCAGCAUCCCAAGGACUGGG